AGAACGAACGCUGGCGGCAGGCCUAAUACAUGCAGGUCGAGCGGGCGUAGCAAUACGUCAGCGGCGGACGGGUGAGUAACACGUGGGAACAUGCCCUUCGGUACGGAACAACUCAGGGAAACUUGAGCUAAUACCGUAUGAUCCGGCAACGGCAAAGAUUUAUCGCCGGAGGAUUGGCCCGCGUCCGAUUAGCUAGUUGGUGAGGUAACGGCCCACCAAGGCACCGAUCGGUAGCUGGUUUGAGAGAACGACCAGCCACACUGGGACUGAGACACGGCCCAGACUCCUACGGGAGGCAGCAGUAGGGAAUCUUGGACAAUGGGGGAAACCCUGAUCCAGCCAUGCCGCGUGAGUGAUGAAGGCCUUCGGGUUGUAAAACUCUUUCGACGGGGACGAUAAUGACGGUACCCGUAGAAGAAGCUCCGGCUAACUUCGUGCCAGCAGCCGC
rnacentral:rRNA from 1 species